AGAACGAACGCUGGCGGCGUGGAUAAGACAUGCAAGUCGAACGGGAUUACUUUUGGUAGCAAUACCGAAAGUAAUUCAGUGGCGAACGGGUGCGUAACACGUGGGCAAUCUGCCGAAAAGUGGGGGAUAGCUCGCCGAAAGGCGAAUUAAUACCGCAUGUGGUGAGGGACGACAUCUUCCUGAAUCCAAAGCCGGGGCAACCUGGCGCUUUUUGAGGAGCCCGCGGCCUAUCAGCUUGUUGGCGGGGUAACGGCCCACCGAAGG
rnacentral:rRNA from 1 species